rnacentral:rRNA from 1 species
CUCGUAGUUGAAUUUCGGGACCAUCAUGUCGGUCGUGCCUCGGUACGUACUGGCAUUGUUGGUUUCUCCCUUCUGACGAACCAUGAUGUCAUUAAUUUGGUGUCUUGGGAAUCAGGACUGUUACUUUGAAAAAUUAGAGUGUUUAAAGCAGGCUCACGCUUGAAUACAUUAGCAUGGAAUAAUGAAAUAGGACGUUUGAUUCUAUUUUGUUGGUUUCUAGGAUCGACGUAAUGAUUAAUAGGGAUAGUUGGGGGCAUUAGUAUUCAAUUGUCAGAGGUGAAAUUCUUGGAUUUAUUGAAGACUAACUACUGCGAAAGCAUUUGCCAAGGAUGUUUUCAUUAAUCAAGAACGAAAGUUAGGGGAUCGAAGACGAUCAGAUACCGUCGUAGUCUUAACCAUAAACUAUGCCGACUAGGGGAUCGGAUGAUGUUAAUUUUUUUAAUGACUCAUUCGGCGCCUUACGG